rnacentral:rRNA from 1 species
GGUGCAGACGGCUUUUUAAGUCGGUUGUGAAAUCUCCCGACUUAAUUGGGAGAAGUCAUUCGAUACUAUUAAGCUAGAGGACGGUAUAGGAAAGCGGAACUCCCGGUGUAGCGGUGAUAUGCGUAGAUAUCGGGAGGAACACCAGUGGCGAAGGCGGCUUUCUGGGCCGUUCCUGACGUUAAGACCCAAAAGCGUGGGGAGCAAAACGGAUUAGAUACCCGUGUAGUCCACGCCCUAAACAUUGGACACUAGGUAUAGGGGGUAUCGACCCUCUCUGUGCCCGAAGCUAACGCUUUAAGUGUCCCGCCUGGGGACUACGGCCGCAAGGUUAAA